UACGUAGGGGGGCAAGCGUUGUCCGGAUUUAUUGGGCGUAAAGAGCUCGUAGGCGGUUUGUUGCGUCGGCUGUGAAAUCCCGAGGCUCAACCUCGGGUCUGCAGUCGAUACGAGCAAACUAGAGUGUUGCAGGGGAGACUGGAAUUCCUGGUGUAGCGGUGGAAAAUGCGCAGAUAUCAGGAGGAACACCGGUGGCGAAGGCGGGUCUCUGGGCAACAACGUGACGCUGAGGAGCGAAAGCGUGGGGAGCGAACAGGA
rnacentral:rRNA from 1 species